rnacentral:lncRNA from 1 species
CCCCAGUGAUAUUUAUUAUCAGUCAGGAUUCACUUUACAGUCAAUAAAUAACCUUAAAAAUCUGAAUUUUGUAGCCAGAUUUGUCUAAUUCUUAGAGCAAUGCUUUGGGAAAUUGGAGAUACAUAUAUAUAUGAAUAUAAAUAUGUAUAUCUGAUAUAUACCUUUUUUAUGAAGGUUUUGUCCUACUACUUCAAAUGUUUCUUUUUGUUUCCUUUUUCCUAACAUAUAUAAAAUUUUCUUAACCAUAUUUAAAGCUACCAGCUUGUUAUUCUAACAAAACCCUGUGAAAAUAAAUUAUUUUUAUUAAUACUCUACAUGUCAAAACCUUGCAGUCAGUCAAAUAACAGAAGGAGUGUUCAUUGUCUCUCUCCCCCACUGAUGCUGUUCUAGGAGUUGGAGUUAGAAGAUUCAGACAUCAAGUGAAACAGUGAAAGAUGAUAAGAAAACACUUGAUUCUCACAAGGCCUGAAAUUGGAAACUAUUUAAAACCUAACAAACCCUGGAGUUUAUCCCUGUUCUUUGAAUAGCAACAGAAGUAUGGCUGUCAUGGUUUGACACAUCAGUGAAGAACAGCCUCUGCUCUGCAGCAGGUACUCAAGUGGAACUUUUGCAAGUGGGCUCUCAUCAGGAGUGAAACACUGGCUGCUGACUCUGCUGCUUUUGCUCACAGACUGCUGCCUUUAUGAACCAGGCAUCUCUUCAGGGACUACUUUAAAUCCCAGAAUGUUCAAGAGCCAUCACUGUACAAACAGAAGCUCCAACUGAACGAAACCAGAAGUGGAUAUGGCAAAUUCUCUGGUCCAAGUGGUGAUAUUAAUCUGGUGAGGCUCUGGAUUCCCAUUUCAGACAUACUAUCACAGCUUAAAUAUAGGAAAAAAUUGGGAUUUUACUUUGCUGUGGUCUCUUUUUGUUUUGCAAAAUAUGUGAUAGUUAAUAUAUGAGUAAAAUCUUGUAUAAAAACAGUUGUUGUUUGUUUUUUGUUUUUUUUUAACAAAUAGCCAAAUGCAUAUUACCUGCCUUGCUGGAAAAUAAUUGAGGUCUUCCUCUAAGAAAUUUUUUCUCAGAGUGCCUUUCUUUGUGAUUUGUGUUCUUAUCUUAGGAAGAUACAGGAGUUGCUCAUUUUAAU